UAGAAAUCGUCUCUAGAAAUCCAUUGGACUUGGAUUCAAGACCCCACGGAGGCCAUUGAAGGCACCUAUAAAUAUUGAUAAGGAGUGCCCCUUCACUGGUACGGUUUAUAUCCGAGGUCGUAUCUUAGCUUGAACUUGUCACAUUGCUAAGAUGACAAGGACUAUUAUCAUUCGGCGGAAUUAUCUUCAUUUUGUCAAGAAGCAUUAUAGAUAUGAGAAGAGGCAUUCAAAUCUUGCUGCUCGUACAUCUCCUUGCUUUCGUGUGAAGGAAGCGGAUCAUGUUAUUAUUGAUCAAUGCAGG